GAUGAACGCUGGCGGCGUGCCUAAUACAUGCAAGUCGAGCGAACAGACGAGGAGCUUGCUCCUCUGACGUUAGCGGCGGACGGGUGAGUAACACGUGGAUAACCUACCUAUAAGACUGGGAUAACUUCGGGAAACCGGAGCUAAUACCGGAUAAUAUAUUGAACCGCAUGGUUCAAUAGUGAAAGACGGUUUUGCUGUCACUUAUAGAUGGAUCCGCGCCGCAUUAGCUAGUUGGUAAGGUAACGGCUUACCAAGGCGACGAUGCGUAGCCGACCUGAGAGAGUGAUCGGCCACACUGGAACUGAGACACGGUCCAGACUCCUACAGGAGGCAGCAGUAGGGAAUCUUGCGAAAUGGGCGAAAGCCUGACGGAGCAACGCCGCGUGAGUGAUGAAGGUCUUCGGAUCGUAAAACUCUGUUAUUAGGGAAGAACAAAUGUGUAAGUAACUAUGCACGUCUUGACGGUACCUAAUCAGAAAGCCACGGCUAACUACGUG
rnacentral:rRNA from 1 species